AUAGUUUGUUGCUGCAAUAUCGUGGCCAAAAAUUCAUCGUCUUUCAUUUCCAUUUUGGACGAGGUUAGAACAACCAGCAGCAGUCUUGCUUCCAUCUGCAGAGAACAACCACAACAGUUCCAAGGGAGCCGGUCUAGCCAGGAGUCAGCAGUACCCACACAUAGAGUAUUAUUCAGUUGCUCCCAGCAGACACAGCGUGCGUUUCAUUUGUCGUCAACUCGAUACGAAACAUCCAGAUUAGUCGACGAAGCACUCCCAGCAGACAGGCAAACUACUACUUUGUCCAAACGUACGAGGAAAUCGCUUUUUAUUGACCCAGACGAGCAAUCAGAGGAAAUCAAAAUUGAAGGAAUAAUGGCACCGCACGACCGUGAUUUUGGAUCCGGACCACGUGGCGGCCGCGACCGCGAUGACGAUCGUCGCGGCGGUGGCGGCGGUGGACGUUUUGGCGGCGGCGGCGGCGACUAUCACGGCGUACGCAAUGGUCGCAUUGAGAAGCGUCGUGAUGAUCGCGGCGGCGGCGGCGGUGGGCGCUUUGGCGGCGGUGGUGGUGGCGGCGGCGGCGGCGGCUUCGGCGGUGAUCGUCGCGGUGGCGGCAGCCAGGAUUUGCCCAUGCGCCCGGUGGACUUCUCCAAUUUGACGCCGUUCAAAAAGAACUUCUAUCAGGAGCAUCCCACGGUGGCCGCUCGCUCGCCGUACGAGGUGCAGCGCUAUCGUGACGAGCACGAGAUCACAGUGCGCGGCCAGGCGGCCAAUCCCAUACAGGACUUUGCCGAGGCCUAUCUGCCCGACUAUGUGGUGAAGGAGAUUCGCCGCCAGGGCUACAAGUCGCCCACACCCAUCCAGGCGCAGGGCUGGCCAAUUGCAAUGAGCGGCGCCAACUUUGUGGGCAUUGCCAAGACGGGCUCGGGCAAGACGCUCGGCUAUAUACUGCCCGCCAUUGUGCACAUCAACAACCAGCAGCCGCUGCAGCGCGGCGAGGGUCCCAUUGCCCUGGUGCUGGCGCCCACACGCGAACUGGCCCAGCAGAUACAGCAGGUGGCCACCGAGUUCGGUUCGUCCUCCUAUGUGCGCAACACUUGCGUCUUUGGCGGCGCACCGAAGGGCGGUCAAAUGCGCGAUCUGCAGCGCGGCUGUGAGAUUGUGAUUGCCACGCCCGGCCGUCUCAUUGAUUUCCUUUCGGCGGGAUCGACCAAUUUGAAGCGUUGCACCUAUCUGGUGCUGGACGAGGCCGAUCGCAUGUUGGACAUGGGCUUCGAGCCGCAAAUACGCAAGAUUGUCUCACAGAUACGUCCCGAUCGCCAGACGCUCAUGUGGAGCGCCACCUGGCCCAAAGAGGUUAAACAGCUGGCCGAGGACUUCCUCGGCAACUACAUACAGAUCAACAUUGGCUCGCUCGAGCUCUCGGCCAAUCACAAUAUUCGCCAAGUGGUCGAUGUCUGCGACGAAUUCAGCAAGGAGGACAAACUCAAGAGCCUGCUGUCGGACAUUUACGAUACCAGCGAGAAUCCCGGCAAGAUCAUCAUCUUUGUGGAGACCAAGCGUCGCGUGGACAAUCUGGUUCGAUUCAUACGCAGCUUUGGCGUGCGCUGCGGCGCAAUUCACGGCGACAAAUCCCAGUCGGAGCGCGACUUUGUACUGCGCGAAUUCCGCUCCGGCAAGUCCAACAUUCUGGUGGCCACCGAUGUGGCGGCCCGUGGCUUGGAGGCCGUUUAUUGUAGUAUGAUGGGGAGGAUAAAGGACAAACAACAAGUCCCAAAACCUGUACUCGUAACUUGAGCCGACUUUUUCAGCUCAGCUGAAACUCUGAAUGAAAGAACAGAACACAAUUGAAUUGUGGAGAUAAUAGAAUGUUCAACUGAUCUCCGAGUCGUCGUCGUCGUCGUGUUCGUUCGUGCUCGGACGCGCGAUGAUCAACGUUAACAUACGAGACGAGGGCUUAUACAUAUAUAUAUAUAUCCCCAACAUCAUGCAUCAUACGUGGCCUCUGCAGUCCUCACAUAUCGAGAAAGAGUGUUGAGUCAACCAACCAGCCAGCCAGCCAACUAAACCGAAAUACGAACCAAAGCACAACAAGCAAAACGGUCAAGAGGGGCGCAUCUUGGUUGUCACCAGUUGAAGGCGGCGCUACAAAGCAGGCACAUUAAUAUAUGUAUAUAUAUAUAUAUAUAUGUCGAACUUGAAAGGCGCUGAUGUCGUCGGCCGGCCGGUUGCUAAGCACAAACCACAAACAUCAGCCAGGCAGCGACAGCAACACGGAAUGAAUACUCAGCCCAAAGGAUGCACACACGCACACCCAGACACAAUCACACACACACACACACAACCAUUUCCACUAUUAGAGCUGUCCCAGAAUUGGAAUGGAAUGUUGGUGGAUCUCAGGAAGGAAGAUAGCUGUGUGAUGAUCGUCUUCGUCGUCUUCGUCGCCGUCGUCGUCGUCGUCGUCGCUGCUGCUGCCUCUGCUGCUGCUGAGUGCCUAGCUACCAAUUGGGCCGCCACGCCCACUGCCCAACUGCCUGCGCGCCGCCAACGCCCGCCGUCUAGUGGGUGGCAACUGAAUCUCUCCUGGACACCGCGACGCUUGUUUGAAAAAGUUGUUCUACAUAAAAGAGUUUAAUAAUUCAAUAAUAAACACAUACAUAUAUGCCGCCGCCUCUCCCUUCUAUGGUGGAGGAUGCGGUUACCGGUUGGCCUGGCCCGACCGACCCCCAGCCCCCCAAGUCUAAUGAGUCGUGUCGAGUCGAGUCGAGUCGAGUCAGAUGAGGUGCACGCGGGGCUCAAUGCAACAAACUCUCGCCGCUCGCGCUUCGCCAUGCGAUCAUAUUUAAAUAAUAUAAUGUACAUAUAUAUUAUUGUUGUUGGGAGAGAGUUUGGACCACGAGCUGCGCGGCGCCACAAAACUUUGAGAUUUUGAUUGAGAGAAAAAUUGAGUGAAACAAUUUGUAGCACCAAGAAGACGUCGAUGGCAUCAAAUAUGUCAUCAACUUUGACUAUCCACAAAACAGCGAGGAUUAUAUACAUCGCAUUGGACGCACAGGACGUU